CCUACGGGAGGCAGCAGUGGGGAAUAUUGGACAAUGGGGGGAACCCUGAUCCAGCGACGCCGCGUGAGUGAAGAAGUAUUUCGGUAUGUAAAGCUCUAUCAGCAGGGAAGAAAAUGACGGUACCUGACUAAGAAGCCCCGGCUAACUACGUGCCAGCAGCCGCGGUAAUACGUAGGGGGCAAGCGUUAUCCGGAUUUACGGGGUGUAAAGGGAGCGUAGACGGUACAGCAAAUCGGAUGUGAAAGUGCGGGGGCCAACCCCGGGCCUGCAUUGGAAACUGUUGAACUGGAGUACAGGAGAGGUAAGCGGAAUUCCUAGUGUAGCGGUGAAAUGCGUAGAUAUUAGGCGGAACACCAGUGGCGAAGGCGGCUUACUGGACUGUAACUGACGUUGAGGCUCGAAAGCGUGGGGAGCAAACAGGAUUAGAUACCCUAGUAGUC
rnacentral:rRNA from 1 species